UAUACAUGCAAGUCGAACGGUAACAGUUCCUUCGGGAAGCUGACGAGUGGCGCACGGGUGACUAACGCGUACGCAAUCUGCCCCAAUCAGGGGGAAAGUCGCUGGAAACGGCGAAUAAUCCCGCAUAAGACCACAGAGUCGCAUGGCUUAGGGGUUAAAACUACGGUGGAUUGGGAUGAGCGUGCGUGCUAUUAGCUAGUUGGUGAGGUAACGGCUCACCAAGGCGACGAUAGCUAGGGGGCGUGAGAGCGUGAUCCCCCACACGGGUACUGAGACACGGACCCGACUCCUACGGGAGGCAGCAGUAAGGAAUAUUGGUCAAUGGAGGGAACUCUGAACCAGCCAUUCCGCGUGCGGGAAGACGGCCCUACGGGUUGUAAACCGCUUUUAUCAAGGAAGAAAUGCGAUUAUUUAUAAUCGAGUUGACGGUACUUGAGGAAUAAGCACCGGCUAACUCCGUGCCAGCAGCCGCGGUAAUACGGAGGGUGCAAGCGUUAUCCGGAAUCACUGGGUUUAAAGGGUACGCAGGCGGUGAAGUAAGUCUGACGUGAAAGCUUGUGGCUUAACCAUGAAAUUGCGUUGGAUACUGCUUUACUAGAAUACGGUCGAAGUGGAUGGAAUGCGUCAUGUAGCGGUGAAAUGCAUAGAUAUGACGUAGAACACCAAUAGCGAAGGCAGUUCACUAGGCCGAUAUUGACGCUGAGGUACGAAAGCGUGGGUAGCGAACAGGAUUAGAUACCCUGGUAGUCCACGCCCUAAACGAUGUUUACUGGAUAUUUGGUCGAUUAUGAUUGAGUAUCUGAGGGAAACCAUUAAGUAAACCACCUGGGGAGUACGUCGGGCACGAUGAAACUCAAAGGAAUUGACGGGGGUCCGCA
rnacentral:rRNA from 1 species